rnacentral:tRNA from 1 species
GCCCGGGUGGCGGAAUUGGUAGACGCCACAGACUUAAAAUCUGUUGUCCAACUAGGGCGUGCCGGUUCGAGUCCGGCCCCGGGCACCA